rnacentral:tRNA from 1 species
GCCCAAGUGGUGGAAUUGGUAGACACGCUAUCUUGAGGGGGUAGUGACCUACGGUCGUGCCGGUUCGAGUCCGGCCUUGGGCACCA